UCUGUACUUAAAAAUCAUCAUUUCAGAUGGGCUGAUGCCAGAAGUCAUAGAAGUGACCUCUUGUACCUUCACAUCUCGUGGCCCAAGUAAUGAAAAGUCUGCCAAAAAGUGAGGUAAAGAAAAAGUUGUGAAAAGAAGCUGGACCCCAGAGGAAUGUGCUGCAGUAAAUAAACAUUUAAGGAAGUAUAUAUUGACAAAUCAGGUUCCUGGUAAGUUUGACUGCGAGAGAUGCAUUGCUGCAGAACCACAAGCACUGAGUAACAGAGACUGGAAAGCUGUUAAGUACUUUGUCAAAAAUAGAAUAACCACCAUGAGGAGAAAAUAUGAGUGAAAGAGCUUCCCUUAACAGAGGUAGAAACACAUGGCUGGUCCUGUUUCACCAUUUGUUCACUAUUUGUCAUGUGUGUAUAGGUGGACCUCUUAAGGUUGAAAUAUUAAAAGCGAGCCCCAUAACUGACUAAAAAUCUCAUGUGUGUAAAGGUGGACCCCGCAAAGCCUGAAGGUUAGAAACAGGCCCCACAUGUGACUGAAAAACUGACAUGUAAAAUAAAGUUUUGAAUUGUGUUUAUUGAAAGUGAUUUUUAGUAACAA